rnacentral:tRNA from 1 species
GGGAGUGUAGCUCAGUGGUAGAGCACUUGCCCAGCAUGCAUGAAGCCCUGGGUUCUACACCCAGCACUGCAA